GAUGAACGCUGGCGGCGUGCCUAAUACAUGCAAGUCGAGCGAACAGACGAGGAGCUUGCUCCUCUGACGUUAGCGGCGGACGGGUGAGUAACACGUGGAUAACCUACCUAUAAGACUGGGAUAACUUCGGGAAACCGGAGCUAAUACCGGAUAAUAUAUUGAACCGCAUGGUUCAAUAGUGAAAGACGGUUUUGCUGUCACUUAUAGAUGGAUCCGCGCCGCAUUAGCUAGUUGGUAAGGUAACGGCUUACCAAGGCAACGAUGCGUAGCCGACCUGAGAGGGUGAUCGGCCACCCUGGAACUGAGACACGGUCCAGACUCCUACGGGAGGACGCAGUAGGGAAUCUUCCGCAAUGGGCGAAAGCCUGACGGAGCAACGCCGCGUGAGUGAUGAAGGUCUUCGGAUCGUAAAACUCUGUUAUUAGGGAAGAACAAAUGUGUAAGUAACUAUGCACGUCUUGACGGUACCUAAUCAGAAAGCCACGGCUAACUACGUG
rnacentral:rRNA from 1 species